GCCAGGAGUGGUGGCGUAUGCCUGUAAUCCCAAUGGCUUGGGAGGCGGAGGCAGGAGGAUUUUGAGUUCAAAGCCAGACUCAGUAACUUAACGAGGCCCUGAGCAACUAGCAAGACUCUGUCUCUA
rnacentral:sRNA from 1 species